GCUGGGAGUGGUGGCUCAUACCUAUAAUCCCAGCAUCUUGGAGGCUGAGGCUGGAGGAUCACCAGUUCAAAGCCAGCAUCAGCAACAUGGUGAGGUCCUCAGCAACUU
rnacentral:sRNA from 1 species